rnacentral:rRNA from 1 species
CUACCCUUGACAUCCUGCGAAUUAGGUAGAGAUACCUUAGUGCCUUCGGGAACGCAGAGACAGGUGCUGCAUGGCUGUCGUCAGCUCGUGUUGUGAAAUGUUGGGUUAAGUCCCGUAACGAGCGCAACCCUUGUCCUUAUUUGCCAGCGCGUAAUGGCGGGAACUCUAAGGAGACUGCCGGUGACAAACCGGAGGAAGGUGGGGACGACGUCAAGUCAUCAUGGCCCUUACGGGUAGGGCUACACACGUGCUACAAUGGCCGGUACAAAGGGCGGCGAGCUCGCGAGAGUCAGCGAAUCCCUUAAAGCCGGUCUCAGUCCGGAUCGGAGUCUGCAACUCGACUCCGUGAAGUCGGAAUCGCUAGUAAUCGUGAAUCAGAAUGUCACGGUGAAUACGUUCCCGGGCCUUGUACACACCGCCCGU